CGACCAACCAUCCCCCAUUCCACAUCCCAACGGCGCCCCGUUGACCAGGUCCACUCCCAAAUCCAACGACAGCGCCUGUUCUCUUGUUCCUCCCAUCGUCCAAUUGCAGCCACCUCUCCCAAAUCCACCGCCCCAUGAGCCCAAUCCGUGACUUCCUUGUCGAUUCCCCCACAGAUCCGCGGGCUCGCUGCAAAAGGCAGCUUUUUUUUUUGUGGCCUCCAUCCAUCCGUGCUUGGAGUGCUGCAAGCUGCGGGCCGGCCGACGGCUAUGGCAGGCAUCGGUGCGCCGGCCACAUCAGCCGCGUGGAGCAGGAGGCGGAGGCAAGGGCCAUGCGAUCGAAAGCGAUGGCCGCCGCCGCCCUGUUCGACGGCGUCUCCGUCCCCGUCGCAUCGGUGGUCACCUCGGUGGGGUGGCGGCGCUAUGGAGGUCAGUGGAGUUGGCUGCGGCGAGGUGGCCCUUGUAAUGCAGGUGUCAUGUCAUUAGGAUUUAGAGGCAAAAGAAAAGGAGGAGAAAAGUCUCAAAGCAAAGCAAAAGGAGGAGAUUGGACUGUUCGAUGAAAUGCUUGGUGUUGCAAUGACAAUGCAGCAACAAUUGCACAACAGCACAAGCAUAUCAACUACGAUGCAUUCUAUUGUAAGCUGUAGCCUAUCUACCUCUCAAUGAUCUUUGUCUUUCCCAAAUGGAAAUCCUUCUUAUGUAUAUGGAAAAGGUUGGUUCUUCAUAUGAGUUGCAUGAAAGCCUUGAUGGAUAAUCAAGGUAUGCUGUUGAGUUGAGAUUGCUAAUCAAGGUAUGCAUUCUGCUUAAACAACAGUUUGGAUACUUCAGCAGUUUUGAGUAUUGUACAAGGUUCCUAGAUAUCCCAAUUCUGAUUGUCGAAAGCAUUAACAUGCCCGGGUGUAGUGCGUGUGGAGGUGCUAAUGGUGAACUGUGGCUUAAUUAGGCCUAGAACUGCAGCUUUACUCUGGUUUUGAAAACCAUCCAAAUUCCUUAUAUAUAUGAUAAGUUUCUUUACCCAUAGACUGCAGCUUUCAACAAAUUGAUUACUUGUAGUUGGUAUUAGUUUUAAAACUGGCUCUUCAGAUAUACAAAGGGCCAGAUGUUCAAUUAUCGGUUGAUUACUCAUGGGCCUUAUUAAUAGAGUUGCUUAUGUUCUCUUAAAAUAGGCAGUACAGGAAGGGGAAUGAACAGUACUUAAAAUCAGUGCUAAUGUAAUGUGGUCCUAAUUUUUGUAACCAUGGUCCAUCAAGAAGGAUGAAGGCAUUCAUUUUUAUUUGAUGACUUCAGGAAUAUAUUGUUCUGGGUGACGUAAUACACGAUUAUUACCAACUUUUAUUCAAUUAGAUGGUAUGUGGUUUCAAUGCCGGCCAGCCAGGGCCAUGAAAAUGAACUUACAUACUUCCUCCGUUUGGAAAUAGUAGGCAUAUUUUUUUUGGGUUCGGUCUUCGAAGUUGGAUUUUGAGUAAGGUUUUCUCACAAAAUAUAUCAUUUAUAGCUACAAAACCUAUAUAGCGUGAAAUCAUUUUGAAUUGUAAACCUAGUUGUAUAAUUUUUAUAUACUAGACAUUCCUAUAAUUUGAUUAAAUGUUAGCAAAGUACAUAAAGUUUGACUUCUCCAAAAUAAAAUGCGCCUACUAUUUUUGAACGGAGGGAGUACUAUUUAAGCUUCAUUAUAUGUAUUGCAAUUUAGACAUUUAGUUGAUGUUAUUCUGAAUAUCUGAUGUAGCAGGUUCGAUUGUAGUCUCCCAGCUUGAGCAGCGGGUUCGAUUUGUAGUCCGUAGGUACUGUGUGUGAUCAGAGCUCGGAUCCUAGGUGAUUGGUGAGGUCAUCUGUGGUGGUGCGGGCAUGGAGCCCCUAAACUGCUCGCAUCUUCUCUUCUCCCCCGAGUUGAGUUGCUGCAGAUUCGUCAAGUUGUUGGGUUUUGGAGUUGUCUCGCGGAGACGCGAGUUGGCUCUUGUUGCCAAUCUGCAGAAUGCCAGCCUGUAGAGUCUACACGCCACAGCGAAUGCUGGCGCUCAGGGCAGUUGAGCAUCGCAAAAUUGGAUUAUACCAUAGUUUCAGUUGGGACUUGGGGUAACAUAAUGCAGAGCCCAUGGUGUGGAAUUGAGGUGUUUCAUCAGAUCGAACUGAUGGCUUAUGUGCAGGCCAUGGAUGUAUGGAGGCAACAUUGACUUUUCGCAUGGCCCAGUGUUUUUGUUGCAGAUACACAUUUGCGAGGCAGCUAUGGGACUGGAUCAAGCUCCAUUGACGACGCCUGACCAUCUGUGCUGCUGGCUUGCCUGCUGCUGCAGCAACAUUGUGCUGCCUUGUGGUGAUGAUCGAGGAGGGUGAGGAAUUACAGCGUCCAUCAGCUCGCUCCCCUCUGCGACACCCUUAAAGAGGUUGCAUCUGCCAUACGCGCCACUGUUCCAGCCAAACCGCACCCCGACCUGUACCCCAUUGUGAUGGGAGUCUCAGGCUUCACCGAGGAGCAGCUCAUCAUCGCGCUCAUGUACCUUGUUGAGGGUCGAGGCCAUGGGGUUGUGUUCCUGGGGAUGUUCGAACUGCAUCACGCGCUGUGGAUCAGUCAGAUCCUUGCCCAGCAGUAGCUCACAGAGGUGGGCUUAGGUGGUCAGUAGCUAGCAGGCAGCUGACAAUUGCAACUACCAUUUUCUUUUGGCAAUGUAGUUAAGAUCAGCUAUAUAAUGUAGGAGUUUGGUCAGCUUCGUCCCACCCCCUCCCCCACUUAUCUAUUAAUUUUCUUUAAGAUCUUAUUGGCUUGCAAAAUGGAUCGCAAGCUUGUGGUA